AUUGAACGCUGGCGGCAUGCCUUACACAUGCAAGUCGAACGGCAGCACGGGUGCUUGCACCUGGUGGCGAGUGGAGAACGGGUGAGUAAUACAUCGGAACAUGUCCUGUAGUGGGGGAUAGCCCGGCGAAAGCCGGAUUAAUACCGCAUACGAUCUACGGAUGAAAGCGGGGGACCUUCGGGCCUCGCGCUAUAGGGUUGGCCGAUGGCUGAUUAGCUAGUUGGUGGGGUAAAGGCCUACCAAGGCGACGAUCAGUAGCUGGUCUGAGAGGACGACCAGCCACACUGGGACUGAGACACGGCCCAGACUCCUACGGGAGGCAGCAGUGGGGAAUUUUGGACAAUGGGCGAAAGCCUGAUCCAGCAAUGCCGCGUGUGUGAAGAAGGCCUUCGGGUUGUAAAGCACUUUUGUCCGGAAAGAAAUACUUGGCCCUAAUACGGUCGGGGGAUGACGGUACCGGAAGAAUAAGCACCGGCUAACUACGUG
rnacentral:rRNA from 1 species